GAUAAACGCUGGCGGCGUGCCUAAUGCAUGCAAGUCGAACGGGUUGCUUCGGCAACCAGUGGCGAAUGGGUGAGUAACGCGUAAGAACCUACCCUUAAGUGGGGGAUAACCUCGAGAAAUCGGGGCUAAUACCGCAUACGCUCCCCGAUUAAGAUCGGGGAGGAAAGCUGAGGCGCUUGAGGAAGGGCUUGCGUCCGAUUAGCUCGUUGGUGGGGUAAUGGCUCACCAAGGCCAAGAUCGGUGGCUGGUCUGAGAGGAUGAUCAGCCACACUGAGACUGAGAUACGGCCCAGACUCCUACGGGAGGCAGCAGCAAGGAAUAUUGGGCAAUGGGCGAAAGCCUGACCCAGCGACACCGCGUGGGGGAAGAAGGCCUUCGGGUUGUAAACCCCUUUUCCCAGGGAAGAAUAAUGACGGUACCUGAGGAAUAAGUCUCGGCUAACUACGUGCCAGCAGCCGCGGUAAUACGUAGGAGGCAAGCGUUAUCCGGAUUUACUGGGCGUAAAGAGGGUGCAGGCGGUCCUUCAAGUCGGGUGUGAAAUCUCCUGGCUCAACUAGGAGGGGUCAUCCGAUACUGUUGGGCUAGAGGGCAGCAGAGGGAGGUGGAAUUCCCGGUGUAGUGGUGAAAUGCGUAGAUAUCGGGAGGAACACCAGUGGCGAAGGCGGCCUCCUGGGCUGUGCCUGACGCUGAGGCCCGAAAGCGUGGGGAGCAAACAGGAUUAGAUACCCUGGUAGUCCACGCUGUAAACUAUGGACACUAGGUAUGGGGGGUAUCGACCCUCUCCGUGCCGAAGCUAACGCUUUAAGUGUCCCGCCUGGGGAUUACGGUCGCAAGACUA
rnacentral:rRNA from 1 species